rnacentral:rRNA from 1 species
UUUGUGACGGUAGGAGCAGAAGAAGCACCGGCUAACUACGUGCCAGCAGCCGCGGUAAUACGUAGGGUGCGAGCGUUGUCCGGAAUUAUUGGGCGUAAAGAGCUUGUAGGCGGCUUGUCGCGUCUGCUGUGAAAACCCGGGGCUUAACCCCGGGCUUGCAGUGGGUACGGGCAGGCUAGAGUGUGGUAGGGGAGACUGGAAUUCCUGGUGUAGCGGUGGAAUGCGCAGAUAUCAGGAGGAACACCGAUGGCGAAGGCAGGUCUCUGGGCCAUUACUGACGCUGAGAAGCGAAAGCGUGGGGAGCGAACAGGAUUAGAUACCCUGGUAGUCCACGCCGUAAACGUUGGGCGCUAGGUGUGGGUCCCAUUCCACGGGGUCCGUGCCGCAGCUAACGCAUUAAGCGCCCCGCCUGGGGAGUACGGCCGCAAGGCUAAAACUCAAAGGAAUUGACGGGGGCCCGCACAAGCGGCGGAGCAUGCGGAUUAAUUCGAUGCAACGCGAAGAACCUUACCAAGGCUUGACAUAUACCGGAAACUCCCAGAGAUGGGGGCCCCGCAAGGUCGGUAUACAGGUGGUGCAUGGUUGUCGUCAGCUCGUGUCGUGAGAUGUUGGGUUAAGUCCCGCAACGAGCGCAACCCUCGUUCUAUGUUGCCAGCACGUGAUGGUGGGGACUCAUAGGAGACUGCCGGGGUCAACUCGGAGGAAGGUGGGGAUGACGUCAAAUCAUCAUGCCCCUUACGUCUUGGGCUUCACGCAUGCUACAAUGGCCGGUACAGAGGGCUGCGAAACCGUGAGGUGGAGCGAAUCCCUUAAAGCUGGUCUCAGUUCGGAUUGGGGUCUGCAACUCGACCCCAUGAAGUCGGAGUCGCUAGUAAUCGCAGAUCAGCAACGAUGCGGUGAAUACGUUCCCGGGCCUUGUACACACCGCCCGUCAAGUCACGAAAGUCGGUAACACCCGAAGCACGGUGGCCCAACCUCGUGUAGGAGGGAGCCGUACCGAA